GGUUGUGGCUCAGCGGUAGAGCGCUCACCUAGCAUGUGCAAGGUGCUGGGUUUGAUCCUCAGUACCA
rnacentral:tRNA from 1 species